CAGUCGCCGCGGUAACACAGAGGGUGCAAGCGUUAAUCGGAAUUACUGGGCGUAAAGCGCGCGUAGGUGGUUGUUAAGUUGGAUGUGAAAUCCCCGGGCUCAACCUGGGGGCUGCGUUUGAUACUUGGUUGCUUGAGUGGGGAAGAGGGUCGUGGAAUUCCCAGUGUAGAGGUGAAAUUCGUAGAUAUUGGGAAGAACACCGGUGGCGAAGGCGGCGACCUGGUCCUUUACUGACGCUGAGGCGCGAAAGCGUGGGGAGCAAACAGGAUUAGAUACCCGAGUAGUCCCUGUCUCUUAUACC
rnacentral:rRNA from 1 species